rnacentral:rRNA from 1 species
GAUGAACGCUGGCGGCGUGCCUAAUACAUGCAAGUCGAGCGAAGCGGGGAGGGGGGAGUAACACGUGGAGAACCUGCUAUAUGACUGGGAUAACUUCGGGAAACCGGACGUAAUCCGGAUUAUUAUAGAUGGAUGCGCUAUGCAUUAGCUAGUUGGUAAGGUAACGGCUUACCAAGGCAACGAUGCAUAGCCGACCUGAGAGUGGGAUCGGCCACACUGGAACUGAGACACGGUCCAGACUCCUACGGGAGGCAGCAGUAGUGAAUCUUCCGCAAUGGGCGAAAGCCUGACGGAGCAACGCCGCGUGAGUGAUGAAGGUCUUCGGAUCGUAAAACUCUGUUAUUAGGGAAGCGGUACCUAUUCAGAAAGCCACGGCUAACUACGUGCCAGCAGCCGCGGUAAUAC